rnacentral:rRNA from 1 species
GUUGAACGCUGGCGGCAGGCUUAACACAUGCAAGUCGAGCGGAGAUGAGGUGCUUGCAUCUUAUCUUAGCGGCGGACGGGUGAGUAAUGCUUAGGAAUCUGCCUAUUAGUGGGGGACAACAUUCCGAAAGGAAUGCUAAUACCGCAUACGUCCUACGGGAGAAAGCAGGGGAUCUUCGGACCUUGCGCUAAUAGAUGAGCCUAAGUCGGAUUAGCUAGUUGGUGGGGUAAAGGCCUACCAAGGCGACGAUCUGUAGCGGGUCUGAGAGGAUGAUCCGCCACACUGGGACUGAGACACGGCCCAGACUCCUACGGGAGGCAGCAGUGGGGAAUAUUGGACAAUGGGGGGAACCCUGAUCCAGCCAUGCCGCGUGUGUGAAGAAGGCCUUAUGGUUGUAAAGCACUUUAAGCGAGGAGGAGGCUACUGAGACUAAUACCCUUGGAUAGUGGACGUUACUCGCAGAAUAAGCACCGGCUAACUCUGUGCCAGCCGCCGCAGUAAUAC